GGCCAGAUAUGUAAAGUAUUAUGCAAAUAGCUAAGUCUCCUCUAACUAGGUGACAAUAGGACAGAGCUGACGAUUUAAAUUUUUGUGGGAUGCAGAGUAAAGAGAUAAAUAAGAGGUAGAAUAUUCCAAAUUUCCAUAGACUCUAUUCCUUAUAGCAUGACUAUCAUAGAAUGAUUGCUCAAGAACUUUCUGAUUAUAAAGAGCAAUAUUUUUCUAUCAGUUCUGAAGCUUAUAUGGAAGGAAAGGAGGAAAGGAGUUACCAGAAGCAGUCCCAGAACUAAGCAGAUAUUCACACCAACAAAAUCACUGUUCCAUGUACAACAUUGUAUCUGCUACUGGAGGAGACCCUACUAUGAGCCACUCUCCAGCAAGAGGGUUGGAAGGCAACAGAAUAUAGCUUUUUGGCAAGAGAAGGUUCUUGGGUCAUUUCAGGAGACCCUGGUGGUGCUUCUGGCAACCUGCCCAAGGUGGUCUUUACCCACUUGAAUUUUGGCAAGAAUGGAGAAGUCCUGGGUAAAGGAAGUUGUUUGGUGAGCUUUACAGGAUUUUCAAUUUAAUCAAAACCAAAGCACUUAAAAUGGCAUUGUAGUGGAGUAGAGAUGUAUUUGUUUCUCAGAAAAGAAAGAACUGCUGCACAUUUGAUAUGUGAAAUGAAACCUUGAAAGCAGACACUUACUCAACAAGAACAAAUAAUAAUUUACGAUGGAUGAACUGAAAAGACAUGCAACAGCACAACCACAUGAGAGCUUUUGCGUAUGUAAAUUUGCUUGCUUUUUAAACCACUGAUAUCCUGUUUCUGAAAACUUAUUCCUAGCUUCUAUUCUUCUCCAACAGAGCCCAAUCAGUUUCUGACAGCUCUUUCCCAAACAGCUGUCUUUCAUUUAAUUUCAUUUAGUGUGCAAACCGUUUCAAGUUGCAUGCAAAAGCAUACUGUGAAGAAUUCAUUUUCUCUAGUUUCCUGGAUACAAUAAAAGAAUGUAAUAAUAAUUUUUUUAAAAGCUGAACUUUGGCCUGAAAUGUUGCUGUCCUGCUGAAAUGGUGAAUUAUACAAGUGGAAGUGAUCUAGAGGUUAUUUGGUCCACCCCCUAAUGUGCAAAAGGCCUAAACAGAUCUUUCUAUGUAAUUAUUUUACUUGUCCUUUUAAAAUCUUAUUUGAGAAACUCCAC
rnacentral:lncRNA from 1 species